CACUUGUUUACACACAAGACAGGUUUACGUGUUUCAGCGCUCCAAGUUUGUUGUUUCUUCCCACAAAGUGCCUUGGAAACAUUGUCUGCUACGUUCACACUGCAUGGUCAGAGGUCCAAAAAGCAGGAAGUGUCACGUCGCAUUCGCAGUCCCGCAUGUCUUCUGCUGCAAGCUCUGCCGAUGCCUCCGCUGGCAGCGCGCCAGGACACGCCACUGCUCGCUCUGGCCGCAUCGCGGCCACACACCGGCAAGGGUGCAGGCCAUCAGCAAUCCGCGCACCUGGGACUGAUGAAGGCGAGCAGUAUAAAGACCAGCGGACCCGAAGAUCCUGGGCCGGAACGUAGUUAACUCCUCGUAUACUUCCCGUGUCUCCCGUGAUUGAGCAGUGUGCCUCGACUCCCCUUUGGACUUUGGACUGCCUCCCUCGAUCUUCAACCCCUGCUUGGACACGGACCCUUUUGACGCCUGGCUAUACCCCCCGAAAACCUGCCUGUCUCACGGACACUCGAGCCUGCCUUUCCCCUUCGGGACUUCCGCCUCUCUCGCUCAACACUCCCGAAAGUGGAACAAAAAUAAGAGCGCCGACAGGAAACAAACACCAAACAAGCAACCACCACCAGAAGUGACGUGACAGAUCGUCACAGAACUGAACCAGAGCCAUUCCGGCCCGGAUUUAGCCUCUGGCUGCCAGUUAAAAAGCCCUGCUGUAAUGCUAAAAUGUAUGACAACAUCAAGAACGUUUUCCAGAGGACUGGGCACGGUAAUACAUCGAAGAUUAUAGAAAUUAUUGAUCAUUUUUAAAAAUCUGGAUUUAUUGAGUACCCUGUAACAACCUCCAUGUAUUUUCUAUUUCUUGUUGAACUUAUAUACCAGCACAUCUCAACUUUAAUGAAGCGAAUGCAGUUCCUGCUUCCGUUCCGUCCUUUUGGGGCUUAUUGUUAUGUUUUGACACAUUGCAUCAUAUCUUUUGCAGCCUUGCUUGUUCCUGUUUCAUUAUCUUUUCUGCCUUAACUUGUGCGCUUGCUUCCCUGGACUCUGCCUCCUCAAUUAGUAAUGAUAAUUAUGAAUUAAACCUUAUUUGAGUUUUUCCUGCCUGCAUCUCAUGCUGCGACAUCACCAAUAUAAUUGACAAUUAAGGUGAAUCUCUGCUCGAUGAGCUGAACACCAUUAUUACUGAUGAAACUUCUGGAAAAGCUUUGAGAGCGUUAAUUACGAUUUGUAAUCUAGUAUCUUAAUUAUGUUCAUUAACAGAGCAAAAACUCUUUAACAAAGUGCUAAAGUAAACGUUUUACUUUUUCUAAUGUCAGAUUCAUUGGACUAGUUGAUGCAGUAUGGAUGUAUAGAACAGAGGAGUAUUAAUAUAUUAGUAGGAUUUGAAUAUAAGAUGCAGUUUAAAUCCAUAAAUGUACAUACAUUGACCUACUUGCCAUCAUCACUGUAUGUUUUAUGUUUAGUUAUAGCUGAAUAGCUAAUUUACCCACCCGGUUUGCCCCGGCGUGCAUUAAUCAGACUCAGUUCAGUGAAAUUAUACCUCUACUGUAAAUCAUCAGCUCAAAACAGUCAUUAUCUAAGAUGAUU